UGCUUAAAAUUUUAAUCUAGUUAUUUUUAGCUUCGAUCGUUUUUUUACCCCGUAUUAAAGUACAAUCAAAUGUAUAAAUUCGCAAUCUUUUCUGAUCGUUCAAAGUUCUACUUCUUACAAUGGGUUCUUCAUUUCGAAUGUUGUUCAUAUACGAAUUCCCCUAUCUAAACUUUAGUGUUGUUUAUGUCGCUGAUUUGUUUUAAUAUGCAUUAUGUGGUACUAGUAUUUAAAAUUUGCUAUUUUGAGACAACGCUGGGAACCCGUAUUGGGAUUUCCCAUGGUUUAUUAAUCUAAGUGAAUAUCAAAACAUCACGUCUUAUGAGUAGGAACCCGUCUUUGAAAUUCCUUUCGCCUAUUUAUAGGAAGGUGGAAAAGUACGGCGUAAGUCAUAUACGUUGAAACCCGUUUAAAUGUGAAAUAUUUUCAACGAAGACAUUGUUAAGAACGGUUUGAUCAUAAUAUAAGAUGAGAAUGAAAUUGUCAGACAUAACAAUAAAUAAAAGACAAAUUCACAAUUUAAGGUCGGUCAACUUGUUAUCUGUUGGUGGUAACAAAUUGUUGACGGGUACAGUGUGCAAUAAAAUAAAAGUGCAAUUUGGGUAUAUAAACUGGAGAAAGAAAGUGAUGGAGUACGAUAUAAUUUUAUUGCCAUGUAUGCAUUUUCUCGCCACCUGCGGUUGAUAUCAUUAAAGAACAAGCAACACGGAUCUACCACUGGAGGAAUAUUCUAAACCGCUUGGAGGGCUGGUGAAGCCGGAUCUCAUCCAGGCAGAAAGUGGACAAACACAAAAGUAAAACUUCCGCAUAAAACGAAAACGUAGAACAUAACGUUACGUUAAACAAAUUCCAGUUGAUUGAGCAGGUCGAGUAAUCUGGAUUUAAAACUGAAGAUAUAGAUAAUAUUUCAAACACCAUUCUAAUUAUCUUGAAUGUGAUGUGCAACAAGUCCUGGUGAAAAAAUAUAUUAUUCUUUUUUCAAAUCUUUAAGAUUCAAAAUUGGAAAUGUUGAGGGAAUAUAUGUGUGAUUAUAAAUACGUUUGAAAGGAUCUAUGAGCAAAGAUAUAUCGACAAUAUAUUUUUCGUCAAUACAUUUAUAUUAUAGUAGGCUGUGGUUUUAAGAUGGCGCAAAAUCCAAGUAGGCAAUUGUUUGAACGAUUUGUAGAAGGAAGAUAAAACAGGUAAAAUAAAUAUCCAAUAUAAGAGGACAUGGGACUCCCAAAUGAAGAUAAUCUAACAAUAUGGUCGGCCGCUGUUUGAAUCGCGGCUAAGACUGAAUAACGGGUCGAAUCGAAAGAGUACAGUAUUUCCUUCUUUGCAAAAUUUCGGCAUGGUGGGCCAUCACAAUCUUAUUUAUCGCGGCUUUAUUUAUAACGUAUACCCGACCAACCGAAGGAGAUAAAUUUAUCCUCGGGUAACUGAAUUCAACGUCAGGCGGGGUCAAUCCAUAUGGCAGCCAUAUAGACGCUUGCAGACCAUCAUUAUCACCAAUAAAAAGGUAGACAAGUAUUUGAGUGGACAACGUCAAUGUUUACAUCACAACCAGUUAUGAUACUUCAAUGUCAUAUAUUGAUGAUACCACUUGUUAGAUUCAAGGACUUUUGUGCGUUUAAUGGUCAGGGCUUUGAAACUGAAAAACAUCCCGAAACGAUGCUGCAAACGCUCGAGAAUGCAAGAAGGGGGCUGUAUUUCUCGGAGUAGGCGAACUCAUCUAGGCGAAAGAGAUGAAAAGUAAUGCUUAUGUUUUCUUCAGAGUUAUUUAUUUACAUCAUAUUGAUCAAAUAUGAAUUUACGGAUAGGUUUACGAAAAUUGGCCCCGACAGGGUGAGCAUGUUCACUGACACUCUCUUUACAGGCCAUGCUGGUAUUAGACCGGAGCAAAAAGUUAAUCCAAAGGGUAUAUUCUGGACCAGAACCACGAUACUAGAAUAUGCACGACAGACAAAUUAGUUCAAAAAGAUUCACUGUCAUAAUCGGAAUGUUGAAUGAAUGAGACUCGUUAUUGUAAACAAAGAUGACAUGUCACGUAAUCAUAACAUACAUGCAUGUACAACUGAAACUGUUUAUAAUGUGAAUAAAGAUAUGUCUUACCUGGAUUAGGUCAAGAUUAAAGUCAGCCACGGGCAAAUAUAUCCCAAUGUUAACUCAAGCACUCAAAAUAAAACAAAAAGUAAAAAAUACACGAUGCAAAUGUUUCCCUACAGGUGCCCCGAUAUUGUCAACUAAAGAAGCAGCACAACCGCCUAAUUAUAACCAAACAUAACGAGGGAUCCCAAAAUGGAAUACCAAAAUAAAUUACCUGGUAUUUUACCUAUACUACAUUUAAAACGAAAUGGUUUUCCCCAAAACGGCGAGUGCUUGAUGGCUAGUGAUGGGUGAAUCAUGAGAUAAGAAUUUGUUUAUCAAAUAUUAAAGGUUCAAUUUUCACGCCAUUUAGUGAAUACAAUUAUGAAGAGUAAAUAAACGACAAACUUCUGUCAUAGAAACAUGUCUAACUCAUUUGAAUAACUGUCGGGUUAAGAACUUUCAUUGAUACGAAUUCAACACGACAAGUAAACCGAGAGGACAUUGGACUCCAUAGGAUGAUUACCUAACUAUAUAGUCGGCCGCCGUUGGAGUCUCGGCUAAAACUUGACAACCGCUUGGCUCUAAAGAGAGCAGUAUUUCCUUCUUUAUAAAAUGUCGGCAUGGUGGGAACAUCACAAUCUUAUUUAUCGCGGCUCUCACUAUAUUUUGGCUUUGUUAUUACCAUCAUGACCAACCGAAGGGGGUAGAUUUAGCCUUGGAUACCGGAAUUCAACUUUAAGUCAGGCGGGGUCAAAUCAUACCGCAGCCAUAUAGGCGCUUGUAGACCAUCCUUAUCAUUAGUAAACAAGAAUUUUAGUGGACAACGUCAAUGUUAACAUCACACCCAGUUAUGAAACUUCAAUGUCAUAUAUUGAUAAGACCACUUGUUAGAUUAAAGGACUGUGUGCGUUGAAUGGUCGGGGGUUUGAAACUGAAAACUAUCCCGAAAAGAUGCUAACGAUGCUAACAGGUAGAACCUGCAAACGAUCGAAAAUGCAAAAAGGGGAAUGUACUACACGGAGGAGGUAAACUCGGCAAGGCGAAAAAGAAAGUACUGCUGAUGUUGCCUUCAAAGAUUAUAUGAAUUCCCUGACUGGUUUACGAGAAUGGGCCCCGAGUAUUUAAAUGAUUCACUGUCAUAUUCAGAAUGUGAAAUGGAUGAUACUAGCAUGGACCUACACGGAGGGCAACUCGAAUUGACUUAUUUUGCCCCUGAAAAUCUGGUUAUUUCUGUGCUAUUUUCUACGCGUUUGAACUAACUUAUGAUUAUCCAUGAGUGAAUAAAACCAAUAAGGAUAGUUGAUACAUUAAAUCAGAAGAACAUUUGCUCUUUUGGCACUUUUACUAACUUCUUCGAGAUUUCGCGUCCAAAUGAAAGAAACAGAUGCGGUUAUGACGGCAUGAAGUUGAAUGUAACAAACAUAAAAAAUGAUAACAAAUAACACAAUAUGCUUUUUGUUGAAUAUGUUCUAUUAUUUAGAAUUAUUGAUUACUUUUUAAAGCUGCACUCUCACAUAUAUACCAUUUUUACAACUUUUUUUAUAUUUUAUCUUGAAAAGAGCAAUUUGUUUCGAAAAUAUCUGCAAAUCAAUAAUAUAAUAAUGCUGACAAAAAAUCAGAUCGUGGAUUUUCAUAAUUCCGUUCGAAAAUAAAUGUUUAAUGGCUUAAACCGUUACUAACGGUUUAAGAAAAAUGCAUAGAAAAUCAUUUUUUAAACUUAAAUAUAAAAACCUGCGAUCUAAUGUUUUGUCAGCAAUCUUAUAUAACUGCUUUCCAUGGAUUUUCGCAAAAAAAUGGCUAAUUCCAAGACAAAAAAUAAAAAAAGCUGUCAAAUCAUUCAAUCUGUGAGAUUGCAGGUUUAAGGUAUCUGAUAUCAUAAUUAUUAUAUUAUUUUUUACAGCUGGAAGUAACAUUAUAAGAUUUGUUUUUGGACAGUAUUACCCAGCCUCCAUCACCACAACAAGCAACAAAUGUGAUUAUUAUUCCUUUACAGACAUAAUCUGAUUAAAAAGACCUUGUGAAAUCAUCAACAAGCAAGCAGUAGUACCCCCGCAUCUGUCCCAGUUGACUUUUCUGUAUUUUUUGUUAAUACAUGUUCAAUCAGUUUGGAUUGUUUUAUAAUUGUUUUGCAACCAUAGAGUGGCAUAUAUUGAUCAAAUUGUUUACCUGAUUAAACAGUUCAUUACUCUC